rnacentral:rRNA from 1 species
CCUACGGGAGGCAGCAGUGAGGAAUAUUGGUCAAUGGCCGGAAGCCUGAACCAGCCAAGCCGCGUGAGGGACGAAGGUGCUAAGCAUUGUAAACCUCUUUUGUCAAGGGACAAAAUCAGCCACGAGUGCCUGGCUGAGGGUACCUGACGAAAAAGCAUCGGCUAACUCCGUGCCAGCAGCCGCGGUAAUACGGAGGAUGCGAGCGUUAUCCGGAUUUAUUGGGUUAAAAGGGUGCGUAGGCGGGCUGUUAAGUCAGCGGUAAAAGCCCGGGGCUCAACCCCGCCCGGCCGUUGAAACUGGGUGUCUUGAGAUGGCAACAGGUAGGCGGAAUGCGCGGUGUAGCGGUGAAAUGCUUAGAUAUUGCGCAGAACCCCGAUUGCGAAGGCAGCAUACCGGCG